rnacentral:lncRNA from 1 species
UGUUGUUGGAUGUGUUGUUGGCGUGAGGGACGGUGUUCUGUGUGUUGUUGGAUGUGUUGUUGGCGUGAGGGACGGUGUUCUAUGUGUUGUUCUAUGUGUUGUUGGAUGUGUUGUUGGCGUGAGGGAUGGUGUUCUGUGUGUUGUUGGAUGUGUUGUUGGAUGUGUUGUUGGCGUGAGGGACGGUGUUCUAUGUGUUGUUGGAUGUGUUGUUGGUGUGAGGGAUGGUGUUCUAUGUGUUGUUGGAUGUGUUGUUGGCGUGAGGGAUGGUGUUCUGUGUGUUGUUGGAUGUGUUGUUGGAUGUGUUGUUGGCGUGAGGGACGGUGUUCUAUGUGUUGUUGGAUGUGUUGUUGGCGUGAGGGAUGGUGUUCUGUGUGUUGUUGGAUGUGUUGUUGGAUGUGUUGUUGGCGUGAGGGACGGUGUUCUGUGUGCUUUCUGAUUAUCCCCCUGUCACCCCUCCUCCAAACCCACCAAAACCAUCAACAGCUCACAGCUCAUUGCAAGACAUUUCUAGGACCUUCUUGGUGUUAUUAAUUCUCUUGCAUUAACACCUAACCUCUCAAACUCACCCAGAAUUGAGUAUUUCCCAGGAAUUGCAUAUUCUCUCUCUUUCUCUCUUUUUCUCAAGCCACCAAGGGCAUUUUCCGCAUGGUCUUUGUCUCUUCUAACUCUCAUCCUCUCUUAUUUUCUCUCCCUCUCUCAUCUAUCUAUCCGUAUAUGGUAUACUUCAUACUUCAGGGCCGACUCUCAGGAGAGCUGCUGUUUCUCAUUCAGAGAUGAUAAAGAGAGAACAGUGAGAGGUCCAUGACUAGACUGUAAAUUGACAGUAGUCACUAACCUUAUCCCUUACAGGACACUGGUGACAGAUGAGGGAAAGUCAUCCAAGGCUAGUAGUUUAGUUGAAGCAGACCACCUACUAACGUGUGUUUCUGUUACUGUGUUUGUGUGCAUAUGUCUGACCAUACUAUUGUAUGUGUGUGCAUACGUGUUCGCUUGUGUGUGUCCUUUCGUGUGUAGUCCAGUCCAGUGGUAGAGCAGUGCACCAGAGUCUCUACUAUGACACAAACAAAUGUCUGGAUGCCACAGCCUCUGAACAAGCUUUCAUCACAUGGGCAUGCAGCGUUAAGGAAAACAAGCUUCUCCAUUGUGCCUCACAAAGGCUGGAGUGCUGACGCUGCAGUCGCAUGAAGCCUGCACUGGUAGCGGGGUCUGGGGCUGGGCAGGGGGUCUGGGGCUCGCUCCGUCAUGAUGGGAUGGGACACUCUUUAAAAACAGCAGGCCCAACUCAUGGAGGCUGGAGGCCCCAGGGAGGUUUAAAGGGCCACAGACACAUCCAGACAGUGCCACCUAUGUGCCACCUGUGCUUUCCAACACAUGUAGAAGGCCCAAGGCUGCAGACAAAGGAUUUGUCCCAAAUGGCACCCUAUUCCCUGUAUAGAUCACUACUAGGGCCCUGAUGAAAAAAAGUGCAAUCUAUAUAGGGAAAAGGAUGCCAUUGGGACGCAGACAUAGAUGGGCACACCUGUGGGAGGGUAGCAACCAGCUCCAUGGCUAUCACACCACUAGGUAUGAGUCUCACCAAUGAUAUGAUCCCAACACAUGUAGGAGGCUUGAUAGAUAGGUAUAAAGCAGAGGAGGCUGGUGGGGAGGAGCUGUAGGAGGAAGGGCUCAUUGUAAUGGCGUGGAUGGUAUCAAUGGAACGGUAUCAAACAUAUGGAAAUCUAGUUUGACUCUGUUCCAUUGAUUCCAUUCCAGCCAUUACAAUGAGCCCAUCCUCAUAUAGCUCCUCCCACCAGCCUCCUCUGAUGGGUACUAGGUAAAUGGCAGUACGUACAGGUCUGGGAUCAGGCUACUGUUUGAGGCUGUAGCAACCAGAUCCAUUGUUAUUAUUAUAGCACCAUGUCGCCCCUCUACACUUCUCACAUUUAUCUGUAGCAUGACUGGCUGUUCCUCAGCUCCUAAUGCAACAGAAUCCCAAUGGUUGUAAUGUGUCGGAGAACAACAGGUGUGUACUCCUAAACCCCGCCACCCCUCCACUCUUCCCCCUCUCUGGUCGAAGAUGUCACCCAUCUGACAUGUGAUUGAAACAGACCUUUAUUUAGCCUUGAACUUUACCGACCGCAACGUUCCAGACAGAAAGAUAAUAUAUUUACACAGAGCAUUGAGAGACACAGUAACCCUAGUAUUUUUAACCUUGCUUGUGUCUCUAGGGAAACGAGGGCACUUAGAUGGGAGUCGGAGGGUAGCCAGUGCUUCCCAUGAGCAACACCGUUACGGAAGUGAAUCCAGGCAGAUGAGUGUAUUUGGUGUGUGUGUGUGUUUUGUUUGUUAGGUGACACAGCAUUUACCUAGAAGAAAAAGAAACGCACACCUAUUAAGGCGAGGUGCUGGCUAGCGGAGUAGAAAACUUGAAAAUAAGGGAGAGCCGCACACUCUAGGAGCUCAGAUGCAAAAAUGUAAUAUCCAACGUUUCGACAGACAAACUGUCUUCAUCAGGGACAGCAUUUACCAACAUAUAAGAGGUUUAUUCUGUUGGAGAUGGAGAAACAGGUUGUAGUAGUCUAAUGUUGAAUGAAAUUAUGAAGGGGAGAGGGAGAAGGACAAGAUAGAGGAAGUGAAUAAAGGUAGGGUGAGAUAUGAGCCCAGAUGAGUUCUAGGGGUGGGAACACACAGUAAGUCAUAUGUAGGAUGACAGGCAAGCAGAAAAUAGCUGGGGCCCAGCAUUCAGCCUCUCCUGUCAAUCAUACAUGAGGCCAGGCAACAAAGAGCAUGUCUGAGACCAGAUCCACAUUACAGGAAUGUCGUCAUGACUACUUAUGGAAACCGUACUUGUGUAGGACUUAUUGGCACUUUGCUAUAUAUUUAUGGAAAAAUAACAUUGGGAUGAAACUCUUGGGCAGUGAUUGCUUCAAACAGUCUAAUGCAGGCUAACAAUCAUGGGCCAUUUUAACGUCUCUGUCUUCUUCAUACUUUGGAUGCGUCCCAAAUGAUACCCAAUCCCCUGUAAAGUGCACUACUGUUUACCAGAUCCCUAUGGGCCGGUGGAAAGGGAACAGCGUGCCAUUUAGGAUGCAACCUUUAUUUCCAACAACAGCAGGUUUCUUGGGCUCCUGAGUGAUGCACCGGUCUAAGGCACUGCAUCUCAGGGCUAGAGGCAUCACUACAGACCCUGGUUCGAUUCCAGGCUCUAUCACAACCGGCCGUAAUUGGGAGUCCCACAGGCGAGGGAUCCCUGCUCACUACGUGUACCCUCAGGCCUUCAUGCAGCCAAGCACCAUGGUCAUUCCCCAUGCCAUGCAGCCCAGCGCAGCCUCUGCCUCCACCGGCUCCUCACCGUACAUCGACUACACUGGAGCCGCCUACGCACAGUAUUCCGCCGCCGUGGCCGCUAGCGCUGCUGCAGCCUACGAGCAGUAUCCCUACGCUGCCUCCCCUGUGGCGGCCGGGUACAUAACUGCGGCCGGUUACGGCUACGUUCAGCAGCCCCUGCCUACGGCCGCACCGGGGUCAGCCGUCGCUGCAGCCGCAGCUUUCGGUCAGUACCAGCCUCAGCAGCUGCAAGCUGACCGCAUGCAAUAGCAGCCACUGCAGCCAUUGGACACGAGGGGAUGGGAGGCCCACGGCUGAUUGGCUGUGCAGAGGAAGGAGGAGGAGGAAGAGAGAGGGGCCGUGUUGUUAAGUGACGGAGUCGUUAAGAUGGUGGUGGUGAGGUGGGAGAUCCAUACAGUAGCUUCCCAACUUGCUGUGCUUAACCCCCCCCCCAAAAAAAAUUAGUAAACAUUACCAAUUCACAGAACAAAAUAAGGUGGAU